AUUGAACGCUGGCGGCAGGCCUAAUACAUGCAAGUCGAGCGAGCGGAGGACGGGUGAGUAAUGUAUGGGGAUCUGCCUGAUCGAGGGGGAUAACUACUGGAAAAGGUGGCUAAUACCGCAUACUGUCGGAUGAACCCUUGUGGGAUUAGCUAGUCGGUGGGGUAAAGGCACACCUAGGCGACGAUCUCUAGCGGGUCUGAGAGGAUGAUCGGCCACACUGGGACUGAGACACGGCCCAGACGCCUACGGGAGGCAGCAGUGGGGAAUAUUGCGCAAUGGGCGAAAGCCUGAUGCAGCAAUGCCGCGUGUGUGAAGAAGGCCUUAGGAUUGUAAAGUACUGUCAGCGGGGAGGCGUUACCCACAGAGAAAGCACCGGCUAACUACGUGCCAGCAGCCGCGGUAAUAC
rnacentral:rRNA from 1 species